rnacentral:rRNA from 1 species
UACGUAGGGGGGCAAGCGUUUGUCCGGAUUUAUUGGGCGUAAAGAGCGUGUAGGCGGCCAAGCAGGUCCGCUGUGAAAAACUCGAGGCUCAACCUCGAGAGGUCGGUGGAAACCGUUUGGCUAGAGUCCGGAAGAGGAGAGUGGAAUUCCCGGUGUAGCGGUGAAAUGCGCAGAUAUCGGGAAGAACACCCGUGGCGAAGGCGGCUCUCUGGGACGGUACUGACGCUGAGACGCGAAAGCGUGGGGGAGCGAACAGG